UACGGGGGGGGCAAGCGUUGUUCGGAAUUACUGGGCGUAAAGGGCUCGUAGGCGGCCAACUAAGUCAGACGUGAAUCCCCUCGGCUUAACCGGGGAACUGCGUCUGAUACUGGAUGGCUUGAGGUUGGGAGAGGGAUGCGGAAUUCCAGGUGUAGCGGUGAAAUGCGUAGAUAUCUGGAGGAACACCGGUGGCUAAGGCGGCAUCCUGGACCAAUUCUGACGCUGAGGAGCGAAAGCCAGGGGAGCAAACGGG
rnacentral:rRNA from 1 species